rnacentral:rRNA from 1 species
AUGGUGUUGGCUGCUCAGAAAAAUAAUCUGUUUCAAGGCUUGGCCUCCGAUCUCAUUGAUGGGGGCGUGGGCAUUUUGCAGUAUGCCGACGAUACGGUCCUGUGCAUCUCUCAUGAUGUGGAAAAAGCCAAAAAUGUUAAGUUACUCCUCUACCUGUUUGAACUCAUGUCAGGCUUGAAAAUCAACUUUGAUAAAAGUGAGGUGUUUACUAUCGGAGGGGACAACAACAUUGAUCAGCUGUAUGCUGAGAUGUUUGGUUGUCAAGUUGGCAAGCUCCCUAUGAAGUAUUUGGGGGUCCCAGUAACAUACUCCUCGCUCAAAACGGUAGAUUGGGAUUUCUUGGAUGCUAAGCUGAUUAAAAGGCUAGCGCCGUGGAUG